GGGAAGGAAGAGGGUGGGCUCAGGGAGGGGCUUCGAAGUCACAGAUGAAACUCUGGGGUCUGAUCCAUACCCACAAACAAAAGCCAGAAUUGAUUUAAUGGAGUUCCAUUCAUGUGUUCAGCAGACACCAAAUGAGCACCUACUAAGUGCCAGGCCCUGCGUGAGUGGAGGGGAUACAGCGGGGAGCAGGAUGGGGUAGAGAUGUUCUCUCCAGUGGUGAACGCUAAAGGGGAGGAGCCAAGAAAUGAGAUGAUCUGCCCACCCUGGUGCACAGACGGCUGCCUUGUUUGAUUUCUCAGCCCUGUCCUGAAUGGGGUUCAGCUGACUCUUGACUCCCCUGCGGAGAGAGAGGGCACCAGGGUGCCCGAGGUGUCCGCUCCCCAGCCUGGGCCAACUACUCCCUUUGUUUCUCACUCAGAGCCACCCUGGCCAUUUCAGAUGCAGCCAGCCUAGAGGCUUAGCCCAGAGGCAGCUGUGGGGCGUGGGCCUGGCAGCAGGCAGGCUGGCCAGUGGGCGGGCAGACAGGCAGCAGGAGAACACUCGAGAAUUAACCUCGACCAGGACUAGGCGUCCCCUCAGAGGACGCAAGGAUCACGGACAUCUCCUCUCCUGCCUUUUGAAGGUACACCCCCACAUUCCAGGGCCUGGGCAAUGGAGUUGAUUUUAAUGGUCACUGGGUAUGGGGUUUGAAGGAAAGAGUAGACACUCUCCCCAUUCUCGGGUUUGUUUUGAAGUGAGCCAAAGGGUCUGUUGGUCUCAGCACCAGUCCCCUGAGGAUGGGUAGGUGGGCCCCAGGUCCGUCAGAGGCCAGGCCAGGCUGCCCACUGAUCUGGCUGCCCACUGAUCUGGGGCGGGCGCUUCCUUCCUGGGAAGGGCCAGCCAAGAGGCAAGCGGGGCGCAUGUGCACCUGGCCCCUUCCUCCCUCCGCUCAUGCUCUGCACCGCUCCCUUGCUCUCUCUUCAGAUUUAGACAUGGCUCGAGAGUACAAGCCUGGCCCUGCCCAGCCAAGCCAGAAGAGGCAGCGGGGCACAGCCAUCUCCUGGUGCGGUAACUAUGACCUGGACUACGAGGGGUACAGGGAAGAUGUCCCCUACAGGGUGUAUGAAUACCGCAGGAUCCCUCCACUCCUCAACCGUGUGCCUGUCAAGAUCCGGAGGACCCAUGUGGGCGUCGGAGUGAAGAGCAGCUUCAGUCCUCACAAGGUCCCCAGGAAUAGCCAACUGCCCCCAGGGCAGAUAAAACGUGAGUGAGGGGGCACAGCCCUCACCUGCAGCAAAAGGGAGGAGCUGGGCAGCCCUUAGCAGUGAGGGCAGGCCUGGGAGCCCUGGCAGCACUGCUCUCUGCCCCCUGGGCCCAGUGGGGCACCAACUCUGGCCCCUCUCCCGACAGUGCGGACUAAGGAGCUGUACUCCAUCAGAGGGGAGCUGAGCCAGAUCAAAGCCCAGGUGGACUGCCUAUUGGAGAGUCUGGAGCGCAUGCACCAGCAGAGGGAGCAGCAUCCAGGUCAGGCACCCCCAAGAGUGGGCCCAGGCCAUGUUCUUAGCAGGCUCCAGCUUUUCCUAUUCCUGAGGGUGCCAGGGGCACUCAGGGUCCUGGACCUGCUGUUCCUGUCUGCAGGGCUCCUCCCUGCCUCCUGGAGUGCUCUU
rnacentral:lncRNA from 1 species